rnacentral:rRNA from 1 species
UACAGAGGUCUCAAGCGUUGUUCGGAUUCAUUGGGCGUAAAGGGUGCGUAGGUGGCGCCGUAAGUCAGGUGUGAAAUCUCGGGGCUUAACUCCGAAACUGCAUUCGAUACUGCCGUGCUUGAGGACUGGAGAGGAGACUGGAAUUUACGGUGUAGCAGUGAAAUGCGUAGAGAUCGUAAGGAAGACCAGUGGCGAAGGCGGGUCUCUGGACAGUUCCUGACACUGAGGCACGAAGGCCAGGGGAGCAAACGGG